rnacentral:rRNA from 1 species
AUUGUUAAGACUUUAAUUUAUUGAAUAUGCGGCAGCCUUAAAUUGAUAUAAGUAGUCAUGUUAUUGUAAGAAUUCAAUGUAAGUACAGGUGCAAUGGUCUUUUUUCUUGAUGGUGAAGAAUUUGUUUUUUACGCGCAAAUUCGUUUAUCAUUAAAAGUGGUGCGAUAGCGUACCAUGCUGUGCGCUUUUUUUUCCGGCGCCGCAGAUGGCAUUUGGCAAUAACAGGUCUGUGAUGCCCUUAGAUGUCCGGGGCCGCACGCGCGCUACAAUGACGGUGUCAACGAGUGGGACCUUCUGGCCCGAGAGGGUUGGGCAAACUGGUCAAUCACCGUCGUGACAGGGAUCGGGGCUUGGAAUUGUUCCCCGUGAACGAGGAAUUCCUAGUAAGUGCAGGUCAUAAGCUUGCGCUGAUUACGUCCCUGCCCUUUGUACACACCGCCCGUCGCUACUACCGAUUGAAUGGUUUAGUGCGGUCCUUGGAUCGGCGUCAUUGUGACAGUUGGCAGAAGGUCAUUGCCCUGCGGUCGCUGAAAAGAUGACCAAACUUGAGUAUUUGGAGGAAGUAAAAGUCGUAACAAGGUUUACACG